AGCGGGCCCAAAAUAUCAACCUUAUUGAGUUUUCACUAUCAUUUAUAUGUAUUACCAUAAUGCUAACAGGUGAUUAAGCAAAAAUGAGUGGAUGGUUAGGAACACCAAGAUACACAAAGGAUUAGUAAGAGAGAUUAAAAAAAUUAUCUAAAAAGAUAUUUCGGUAUAAUAUAAAAAAGUAUAUUAAUUGGGGCUUUAACUUGGUAGAAAUGAUUAGGCAGUACUCCCCAUGAUUCCGAUCCAGAGUAUGCUCCUACCCACCGAUUAAAGAAAUAACUAUCAGGAACGAAAUAAUCCUUUCCUUUUUUUUAAUCCCCUUUUCUCUUUUUUUUUUUUUUCAGAAAGAAGAAUAGGAACGAAAAAAAAAAAAAGAAUCU
rnacentral:misc_RNA from 1 species